UACGGGGGGGGCAAGCGUUGUUCGGAAUUACUGGGCGUAAAGGGCUCGUAGGCGGCCAACUAAGUCGGAUGUGAAAUCCCCAGGCUCAACUUGGGAACUGCAUCCGAUACUGGAUGGCUUGAAUUCGGGAGAGGGAUGCAGAAUUCCAGGUGUAGCGGUGAAAUGCGUAGAUAUCUGGAGGAAUACCGGUGGCGAAGGCGGGUCUCUGGACAGUUCCUGACGCUGAGACACGAAAGCCAGGGGAGCAAACGGG
rnacentral:rRNA from 1 species